GAUGAACGCUGGCGGCGUGCCUAAUACAUGCAAGUCGAGCGGAUGGAUUAAGAGCUUGCUCUUAUGAAGUUAGCGGCGGACGGGUGAGUAACACGUGGGUAACCUGCCCAUAAGACUGGGAUAACUCCGGGAAACCGGGGCUAAUACCGGAUAACAUUUUGAACCGCAUGGUUCGAAAUUGAAAGGCGGCUUCGGCUGUCACUUAUGGAUGGACCCGCGUCGCAUUAGCUAGUUGGUGAGGUAACGGCUCACCAAGGCAACGAUGCGUAGCCGACCUGAGAGGGUGAGCGGCCACACGGGGACUGAGACACGGCCCAGACUCCUACGGGAGGCAGCAGUAGGGAAUCUUCCGCAAUGGACGAAAGUCUGACGGAGCAACGCCGCGUGAGUGAUGAAGGCUUUCGGGUCGUAAAACUCUGUUGUUAGGGAAGAACAAGUGCUGGUUGAAUAAGCUGGCACCUUGACGGUACCUAACCAGAAAGCCACGGCUAACUACGUGCCAGCAGCCGCAGUAA
rnacentral:rRNA from 1 species